rnacentral:rRNA from 1 species
AACGAACGCUGGCGGCAUGCCUAACACAUGCAAGUCGAACGAGACCUUCGGGCCUAGUGGCGCACGGGUGCGUAACGCGUGGGAACCUGCCCUUAGGUUCGGAAUAACUCCCCGAAAGGGGUGCUAAUACCGGAUCAUGUCUUCCGACCAAAGAUUUAUCGCCUUUGGAUGGGCCUGCGUUGGAUUAGCUAGUUGGUAGGGUAAAAGCCUACCACGGCGACGAUCCAUAGCUGGUCUGAGAGGAAGAGCAGCCACACUGGGACUGAGACACGGCCCAGACUCCUACGGGAGGCAGCAGUGGGGAAUAUUGGACAAUGGGCGAAAGCCUGAUCCAGCAAUGACGCGUGAGUGAUGAAGGCCUUAGGGUUGUAAAGCUCUUUUACCCGGGAUGAUAAUGACAGUACCGGGAGAAUAAGCACCGGCUAACUCCGUG